rnacentral:rRNA from 1 species
UGGGGAAUAUUGGGCAAUGCCCGCAAGGGUGACCCAGCAACGCCGCGUGGAGGAUGAAUGUCGUAAGAUUGUAAACUCCUGUUAGAGGGGAAGAAUAGUACCGGUUGGACCGGUAUAUGACUGUACCCUCAGAGAAAGCCCCGGCUAACUACGUGCCAGCAGCCGCGGUAAUACGUAGGGUGCGAGCGUUAAUCGGAAUUACUGGGCGUAAAGCGUGCGCAGGCGGUUUUGUAAGACAGAUGUGAAAUCCCCGGGCUUAACCUGGGAACUGCGUUUGUGACUGCAAGGCUGGAGUACGGCAGAGGGGGGUGGAACUCCACGUGUAGCAGUGAAAUGCGUAGAGAUGUGGAGGAACACCGAUGGCGAAGGCAGCCCCCUGGGCCUGUACUGACGCUCAUGCACGAAAGCGUGGGGAGCAAACA